rnacentral:rRNA from 1 species
GACGAACGCUGGCGGCGUGCUUAACACAUGCAAGUCGAACGGAAAGGCCCUGCUUUUGUGGGGUGCUCGAGUGGCGAACGGGUGAGUAACACGUGAGUAACCUGCCCUUGACUUUGGGAUAACUUCAGGAAACUGGGGCUAAUACCGGAUAGGAGCUCCUGCUGCAUGGUGGGGGUUGGAAAGUUUCGGCGGUUGGGGAUGGACUCGCGGCUUAUCAGCUUGUUGGUGGGGUAGUGGCUUACCAAGGCUUUGACGGGUAGCCGGCCUGAGAGGGUGACCGGCUACAUUGGGACUGAGAUACGGCCCAGACUCCUACGGGAGGCAGCAGUGGGGAAUAUUGCACAAUGGGCGGAAGCCUGAUGCAGCAACGCCGCGUGCGGGAUGACGGCCUUCGGGUGGUAAACCGCUUUCGCCUGUGACGAAGCGUGAGUGACGGUAAUGGGUAAAGAAGCACCGGCUAACUACGU